CUCUAUAAGAACCUCAUCGGCAUAGGAGAAUUGGCAAAACAAGAAAGAUAUUGUUGAGGAAAGAUGGCAAAAACUUCUCUGAUGAAGGUGGUAUUGUGCUGUGCAAUGUUAUUAACAAUCAUUCAAGUGGGGCAGUCGAAAGACUAUGACCUUUGCAUGAAAGAUUGCUUGGAAAGACGAGGAUGUACUUCACCCCCUGGCUUUUGGUGUGAAUUGAAUUGCGAGAUCCCGUGCGGAAUGGUCGGUGGUGACAGCUACCAACCCACCAAGACUGAAGGUGCGUUGAAUGGAGGGCCAAACCACCUUCCUAAUCAGAUGAACCCUACCAACAAUUGAGCUGCAACAAGGACGCCAUUGCCCCUUCCCAGAAUUACCGGUGAUGGAACUAACAGGAGAGGAAUUUUCCUCUAGCUUCUGGUCUACUUUGAUACAAAGGCUUGAAUAUUUCAUGCAUGUAACAAAGGAAGAUCAUGUCUAUGAUAUUUCAUUUAUUAUUUUAUAAUAUUCUUUUACAAUUUAUCUCCCUUUGUAACAUGUUUUUGCACAAAUAAAAAUAAUAUUGUUUAA